rnacentral:rRNA from 1 species
CAGCCCUAAACGAUGCGCGUUAGGUGUAUCGGUGACCACGAGUCACCGAGGUGCCGAAGGGAAACCGUGAAACGUGCCGCCUGGGAAGUACGGUCGCAAGGCUGAAACUUAAAGGAAUUGGCGGGGGAGCACCACAACGGGAGGAGCGUGCGGUUCAAUUGGAUUCAACGCCGAAAAACUCACCAGGAGCGACGGAUAUAUGAAGGUCAAGCUGAUGACUUUACCUGAUUUUCCGAGAGGAGGUGCAUGGCGUAGUCGUGU